UACGGGGGGGGCAAGCGUUGUUCGGAAUUACUGGGCGUAAAGGGCUCGUAGGCGGCCAACUAAGUCAGACGUGAAAUCCCUCGGCUUAACCGGGGAACUGCGUCUGAUACUGGAUGGCUUGAGUGUGGGAGAGGGAUGCGGAAUUCCAGGUGUAGCGGUGAAAUGCGCAGAUAUCGGGAGGAACACCAGUAGCGAAGGCGGCACUCUGGGCCGGUACUGACGCUGAGGAGCGAAAGCGUGGGGAGCGAACAGG
rnacentral:rRNA from 1 species